AUUGAACGCUGGCGGCAUGCCUUACACAUGCAAGUCGAACGGUAACAGGUCUUCGGAUGCUGACGAGUGGCGAACGGGUGAGUAAUACAUCGGAACGUGCCCGAGAGUGGGGGAUAACGAGGCGAAAGCUUUGCUAAUACCGCAUACGAUCUCAGGAUGAAAGCAGGGGACCGCAAGGCCUUGCGCUCACGGAGCGGCCGAUGGCAGAUUAGGUAGUUGGUGGGAUAAAAGCUUACCAAGCCGACGAUCUGUAGCUGGUCUGAGAGGACGACCAGCCACACUGGGACUGAGACACGGCCCAGACUCCUACGGGAGGCAGCAGUGGGGAAUUUUGGACAAUGGGCGCAAGCCUGAUCCAGCCAUGCCGCGCAGGAUGAAGGCCUUCGGGUUGUAAACUGCUUUUGUACGGAACGAAAAGACUCUGGUUAAUACCUGGGGUCCAUGACGGUACCGUAAGAAUAAGCACCGGCUAACUACGUGCCAGCAGCCGCCGUAACAC
rnacentral:rRNA from 1 species